rnacentral:rRNA from 1 species
UAUCUCUGUAGAGUCUGCAUAUCAAUAAGCGGAGGAAAAGAAACUAACUAGGAUUCCCUCAGUAACGGCGAGUGAAGCGGGAAGAGCUCAAAUUUGAAAUCUUCAAGGUUUUACCUUGACGAAUUGUAGUUUAAAGAAGUGUUUUCUGUUGGAGUUUUGGUAAAAGUUCUUUGGAAUAGGACAUCAUAGAGGGUGAGGAUCCCGUAUUUGACCAUUAUUUCCAGCUUUGUGAUACACUUUCAAAGAGUCGGAUUGUUUGGGAAUGCAGUCCAAAAUGGGUGGUAAAUUUCAUCUAAAGCUAAAUAUUGGCGAGAGACCGAUAGCGAACAAGUACCGUGAGGGAAAGAUGAAAAGAACUUUGAAAAGAGAGUUAAACAGUACGUGAAAUUGUCAAAAGGGAAGCGUUUGACACCAGUGUUGUUUUCUCGAAAAUCAAUUAAAAAGGACUUGAUUUUGUGUUGUAUUGACUCUUAUCAGCUUUCUGCACUCUUUUUCAUGUCUUUUUUAAUGCACUUUUCGUUUAACAAGUCAACAUCAGUUUCUUUUGUUGUAAAAAGGGUCAUUGGAAGGUGGCUUUCUUUUCGGAGAAAGUGUUUAUAGCCUUUGACUUCCUGCAAUCGGAGAGACUUGAGGUCUGCAGCGUAGAUCCUUCUGGGAUUAGAUACGUAGAUGCUAAGUUAUAGUUUUUUAUAGACAACUUGUUGACUAUAAUUAAUCAUGUAGCUUACUCGUUUGCGCUAUUUUACCUACGCUUAGGAUGUUGAGUCAUCACACAUCUCU